UCCCUGGUGGCUCAGACGGUAGAGAAUCUGCCUGCAAUGCAGGAGACCUGGGUUUGAUCCCUGGGUUGGGAA
rnacentral:tRNA from 1 species